UGAUCAUUCCCUUUUAUUGACUCACCUUUCUGAUUAAAUCCAUCUUCUCUACAUCCACCCUAUAAAUAUCUAAUCAUUUGUUCCAGUUCCCAUAUUGUCUUAUCAUUAGAUUAUAAACUCCCUUAGGGGAGAGAAUGAUUCUUGUUUUCUUAAUAUCUCCAGUACUGAAUACAAUGCCUGACACAAAGUGCUCAAUACAUACUUAUCAACUGUCUCUUCCACGUUCAAAUAUCUUCAGUAGCUCCCUAUUGCCAUUUAACUUUCAAACCCUUCACCAUCUCUAUUUUAUUUUUCCUUAAUGGCUACACCCUACUCCCAUUCAGUCAUGACAUCAUGACUUCUUUGACAUCCCAUGGACCCAAUGUUCCCAUUCCUCACCUUUGCCAAGCUGCCUUCCAUACCUGGGAUGUUCUCCCCUGCUCAGCGUUGCCUCCUGAAUAAAAUGGAUUCUUCAGGGCCAAACUCGGGGGCUCUCCACUAUCAAAAGAUUCUCUUAAUGUUCUCAGUUGGUGAUGCUCUCCCCAUUCCUGAGCCUUGAAAAUUAUCAUUGUUCUUGUUUUGCUGAUAUUCUUGCUGUUGUUAUUCUUAUACCACGCCUGUGAUUGGCAAGGAAAUGGCAAGGAAUCUCCUGGCAAGGAACAUCCUCCAUUGGUGUAGUUUGGCAGCUUCUCCCCAACUUAAUCUUAGAGAAUCAGAUGAGAGAUUAAGAGAUUUUCUCCAAUCAGGAAGAGAAUCUAAGGCAGAUGGCAGCCUUGACUCCAAGGUCAGCUCUCCCAUUUUGUCUCCCAUUGGGUAAAAAUCAUCUUUUUUUUUUUUUAAAUCUGUAAAUACAUUGAUUUCCUCCUUUCAAAUGUAAGCUUGUUGAAGGCAGGAUCUGUUUAGUCUUUGUAUCUUGAUCGAUACCCAUUGGAAGAAUAAACAAACGAAAGCAUGGAAGCCGUCAGAAAAUAUCUUAAGCCUCCCAGAGACUUGAAGACCACUGGUGAUUUCUCACUGGAUUUGGAUCAUGGAGGAGCUCAAGAAGUCUUCCAAUCACAUGACCUGAAGAACCUCAAGGUAAAAAAUAAAAGAAAACUCAAGUUCUGCUCCUUCAUUCAUUGUUCACUCUCCCUAGACAGAAAUUAAGCCAUUUUCUGUCAUUGAAAUGGUGAGGAAUUCCUCUCCUGCCAUUCCAAAUGCCCAGUGAACGUCACCAGAGUGAUCAGGGAGUCCACACUGACUGGCUUUCCAUGAAGAGAAAUGAAAGAAUUUAGAAACACCCCACUCAUUAUGAUAACUGAAAACCAAAAAUCUCCUUAGGCGUUGGAAUUGCCCAUUUGCAGUAAUCUCUCUCUUGUUAGGAUUGCCAGUGAACCAGGAAAAAAAGAAAAAGAAAAGAAAAGAAACCUGCUAGUUACUGAAAUCAUUAAUGGGCAGCUUGCACCCAAGUCCCUCUCUCUGCAGGAAAGUCCUCUGGGCCAUCACUCAGAACCUACUGACUCAUCCCCAUCUCACGUUUCUAACAAAUGGGGUUUUCUGAUAUCGCAGACUUAAGCAGAUAGAAACAACUAAUAUUAAGAAUGGGAUAGGUUGCAAGAAGUAGAGACAGAUAACAGGAAGAUCAGCUAGUGAGGAGGGAGGGCACAGCAGUCACUGGAUUACAAGACUAGAAGGAGGGACUGUCAAAAUGGUAGCCCUGAGUCAUCAAGAAAAGGGCAAAGGACAGAGAGAGUUUUUCUUUUUUUCUUUUAGGAGAUAGAGAAGUGUAUGCCAGCUUAAGAGACAUGAUGGAGUCUUGAGUGACUGCAUCAUAUUACCAAAGAUGAUCUGGGCAUGAGAAGUGGGGAAAGGAUAGCAGGGAGCUGGUGGAUAAAUGGAAAGGGAAGCAGGUAAGUCAUGGAACUGGUGGAUAAAUGGAAAGGGAAGUGGAAAAGUCAUGGAGCUGGUGGAUAAAUGGAAAGGGAAGCAGGUAAGUCAUGGAGCUGAUGGAUAAUGGAAAGGGAAGCAGGCAAGUCAUGGAGCUGGUGGAUAAAUGGAAAGGGAAGCAGGUAAGUCAUGGAGCUGGUGGAUAAAUGGAAAGGGAAGUAGGCAAGUCAUGGAGCUGGUGGAUAAAUGGAAAGGGAAGCAGGCAAGUCAUGGAACAUGAAUGAGAGCUACCAGAUGGAUACUAAGCCCAGACAAUGAAGGAUGUCCACAGGAGGCCGGCAGCCUCCCCUCAGGGAACUGGUAGGAGACAUGGAGACCAAUGCCCUGGCAUGAGAAGGAGCACAGUGUCCUUGGCUGGGAACCUGGAGUGAUCACAGCAACCCCAGGGAGCAGAAGUUAUCAAGUUUCUGCACAGCAUCGAGGAAACAGGAAUGCUCUGCCUA